AGUGAACGCUGGCGGUAGGCCUAACACAUGCAAGUCGAACGGCAGCACAGUAAGAGCUUGCUCUUACGGGUGGCGAGUGGCGGACGGGCGAGGAAUAGAUCGGAAUCUACUUUUUCGUGGGGGAUAACGUAGGGAAACUUACGCUAAUACCGCAUACGACCUACGGGUGAAAGCAGGGGAUCUUCGGACCUUGCGCGAUUGAAUGAGCCGAUGUCGGAUUAGCUAGUUGGCGGGGUAAAGGCCCACCAAGGCGACGAUCCGUAGCUGGUCUGAGAGGAUGAUCAGCCACACUGGAACUGAGACACGGUCCAGACUCCUACGGGAGGCAGCAGUGGGGAAUAUUGGACAAUGGGCGCAAGCCUGAUCCAGCCAUACCGCGUGGGUGAAGAAGGCCUUCGGGUUGUAAAGCCCUUUUGUUGGGAAAGAAAAGCAGCAGGUUAAUACCCCGCUGUUCUGACGGUACCCAAAGAAUAAGCACCGGCUAACUUCGUG
rnacentral:rRNA from 1 species